AGAGUUUGAUCAUGGCUCAGGAUGAACGCUAGCGACAGGCUUAACACAUGACAAGUCGAGGGGCAGCAUGAUUUGUAGCAAUACAGAUUGAUGGCGACCGGCGCACGGGUGAGUAACGCGUAUGCAACUUACCUAUCAGAGGGGGAUAGCCCGGNGAAAGUCGGAUUAAUACCCCAUAAAACAGGGGGUCCCGCAUGGGAAUAUUUGUUAAAGAUUCAUCGCUGAUAGAUAGGCAUGCGUUCCAUUAGGCAGUUGGCGGGGUAACGGCCCACCAAACCGACGAUGGAUAGGGGUUCUGAGAGGAAGGUCCCCCACAUUGGAACUGAGACACGGUCCAAACUCCUACGGGAGGCAGCA
rnacentral:rRNA from 1 species